GCCCGGCUGGCACAAUUGGUUAGCGCGUGAGACUCUUAAUCUCAAGGUUGUGGGUUCGAGUGAGUAGUCCGCUCUGUGCU